CCUACGGGGGGCAGCAGUGGGGAAUAUUGCACAAUGGGGGAAACCCUGAUGCAGCAACGCCGCGUGGGUGAAGAAGUAAUUCGGUAUGUAAAGCUCUGUCAGCAGGGAAGAAGGUGACGGUACCUGAGUAAGAAGCCCCGGCUAACUACGUGCCAGCAGCCGCGGUAAUACGUAGGGGGCAAGCGUUAUCCGGAUUUACUGGGUGUAAAGGGAGCGUAGACGGCAGUGCAAGUCUGGAGUGAAAGGCCGGGGCUCAACCCCCGGACUGCUCUGGAAACUGUACGGCUGGAGUGCAGGAGAGGUAAGUGGAAUUCCUAGUGUAGCGGUGAAAUGCGUAGAUAUUAGGAGGAACACCAGUGGCGAAGGCGGCUUACUGGACUGUAACUGACGUUGAGGCUCGAAGGCGUGGGGAGCAAACAGGAUUAGAUACCCGGGUAGUC
rnacentral:rRNA from 1 species